UACGUAGGGGGCUAGCGUUGUCCGGAUUUAUUGGGCGUAAAGAGCGUGUAGGCGGCCAGGUAGGUCUGCUGUGAAAACUCGAGGCUCAACCUCGAGACGUCGGCGGAAACCAUCUGGCUAGAGUCCGGAAGAGGAGAGUGGAAUUCCUGGUGUAGCGGUGAAAUGCGCAGAUAUCAGGAAGAACACCCGUGGCGAAGGCGGCUCUCUGGGACGGUGCUGACGCUGAGACGCGAAAGCGUGGGGAGCGAACAGG
rnacentral:rRNA from 1 species